UACGUAGGGGGCAAGCGUUGUCCGGAAUCAUUGGGCGUAAAGAGCGCGUAGGCGGUCCGAUAAGUCGGCUGUGAAAGUCAGGGGCUCAACCCUUGAAAGCCGGCCGAUACUGUCGGACUAGAGUCCGGAAGAGGCAAGUGGAAUUCCUGGUGUAGCGGUGAAAUGCGCAGAUAUCAGGAAGAACACCCGUGGCGAAAGCGGCUCUCUGGAACGGUACUGACGCUGAGACGCGAAAGCGUGGGGAGCGAACAGG
rnacentral:rRNA from 1 species